AGGAAAUGAUGAAAUCAGAGCCUGAGAUGUCUCUCUACCGCUCAGACCACACAUGCUCAGUCGACAUCCAGACACCAUGAAGCGGACCCCGCUGCUCGUCCUCCUUGGUGUGUGUGUGCUGCUGCUGUCUGCACUGACUGUUUCUGCAGUGUCUCUGUCUGUCAGUCCAAACCUUCAGCAGUUUUUCAGUGGAUCUUCUUCAGUGUCUUUGAGUUGUGUUGAUGAUGGACAGACAGUUGAUGGAUGGACAGUGAAGAGGACCAGAGGAGGACUCACUGAGGACUGUAGAGCAGCUGCUUUGGGCUUUGGGGAGUUUAAUGGUUACUCCUGCAUCCUCUCAGACAUGUCCCAGUCAGAGUCUGCAGCUUACUGGUGUGAAGCCAGUUCUGGACAGAGGAGUGAUCAGAUCAGCAUCACUGUAACUGGUACACAAGCUAACUACUCCAUCUGCUACUGCUACAACAUCUGGAUAUGAGUCUACUUUCGUUAACUUUGUUUGUCUCUGCUUGUCAGAAAAACAUCUUAUACUGGAGAUUCCUGCACUUCCUGUGAGGACAGGAAGUGAUCUGAUUCUGCGCUGCAAGCAGAGGAAUGGUGACACAGUCAAAGGUUAUUUCUCCGUGAAAGGAAGUUCUGUUGGUCUUAAACAAAAGUACAUCAUCACUAACAUCCAGCAGUCUGAUGAAGGUCUCUAUUCGUGUUAUACUGAUGAGGGUGGAGAAUCUCCUCUGAGCGUUCUGAGGGUCAGAGGUGAGAACACUUACAUCACUUCCUGUAUAAAGACAAACUAACCUGAGCUGCUGAACUGAAAAUAAACUGACUGAACCAUCUUUAUCAUCUCUCCUGCAGAUCAUCUUCCUACUGCAUCUUCUCCUCCUCUUCAAACACCCUCUCCCUCCUCUCCUCCUGUAAACUAUCCUCUUAUUUCUACUCUGUUCAUUCACCACCCAGCCUCCUCCCCUCAACCACCAUCUCCCUCCUCCCUCCUGGCCCCCGUUGUUGCAGUUCUGGUCUCUGUGGUUCUACUGGUUCUGCUUUUGGCUGGAGUUUUGU
rnacentral:lncRNA from 1 species